UACGAGAGGCCCAAACAUUAUUCGGAAUUACUGGGCUUAAAGAGUUCGUAGGCGGCAUGGUAAGUAGGGUGUGAAAUCCCUCGGCUCAACCGAGGAAUUGCGCUCUAAACUACCGUGCUCGAGGAAGCUAGAGGUGAGCGGAACUGAUGGUGGAGCGGUGAAAUGCGUUGAUAUCAGCAGGAACACCGGAGGCGAAGGCGGCUCACUGGGGCGUUUCUGACGCUGAGGAACGAAAGCCAGGGUAGCGAACGGG
rnacentral:rRNA from 1 species